GACGAACGCUGGCGGCAUGCCUAAUACAUGCAAGUCGAGCGAACAGAUGAAGUGCUUGCACUUCUGACGUUAGCGGCGAACGGGUGAGUAACACGUAAGGAAUCUACCUAUAAGCGGGGGAUAACAUUCGGAAACGGGUGCUAAUACCGCAUAAUAUCUUCUUCCGCAUGGAAGAAGAUUGAAAGACGGCUCUGCUGUCACUUAUAGAUGACCUUGCGGUGCAUUAGUUAGUUGGUGGGGUAAUGGCCUGCCAAGACAAUGAUGCAUAGCCGACCUGAGAGGGUGAUCGGCCACAUUGGGACUGAGACACGGCCCAAACUCCUACGGGAGGCAGCAGUAGGGAAUCUUCCGCAAUGGGCGAAAGCCUGACGGAGCAAUGCCGCGUGAGUGAAGAUGGCCUUCGGGUCGUAAAACUCUGUUAUAAGAGAAGAACAAAUUGUAGAGCAACUGCUACAGUCUUGACGGUAUCUUAUCAGAAAGCCACGGCUAACUACGUGCCAGCAGCCGCCGUAA
rnacentral:rRNA from 1 species